rnacentral:misc_RNA from 1 species
CCCGCAGGCAACUUCGCCUCAUUAAUAUUAAGUAUUUGCUCUGAGGGGGAGAAGAGUAUAAGAAUGAUACAAAAGUUCUAACAUAAAAAAAUGAGAUAAGUUGCAGUCGCACAAAUUGCCAGGAUGUAUUUCUUUGUGGGUACAUCAACAUGCUUAUAUGCAGUAUGGCUACACCAGACACUCAAAUUCCCGGCAACCAUUAGCAUGAGAAUAAAAUUUGCCAGUUGAUAACUGCCAUGAAAAGAUAGUGAAGUACCUUGAAAAUUUGAGCUUAGAAACACUCUUCCCAGCACGAGGUCUAGAAAACAAUCUCUCCAUACACACAAGGAAGCAAUACAUAUAUCAUACACCAUANNNNNNNNNNNNACUGGUUGAGAAGUAUUUCAUUCUCCUCACUGUCAUUUAUAUUACCUGUCCUAUCUUUCUCAGUCGACACUUCUUCUGACAGUCCAAUAAGUGAUGCAUAACUUUCAUCUUCAAGACAUCCUGACUGCCUCAACCAACCCUCCAAAACUCCUUUACUUGACAUGUCUGAUUCUUCCUCGCACAGCUUAAAGAAAGACGACACAAGUACAGGUUUUGGCUUCCAAAGCUUUGAUCCUUCAGCAAGAAAAG